rnacentral:rRNA from 1 species
CGGACUGUAGGCUACAACUCGCCUACACGAAGCUGGAAUCGCUAGUAAUCGCGGAUCAGCACGCCGCGGUGAAUACGUUCCCGGGCCUUGUACACACCGCCCGUCACACCAUGAGAGUCUGUAACACCCAAAGCCGGUGGGAUAACCUUUAUAGGAGUCAGCCGUCUAAGGUAGGACAGAUGAUUAGGGUGAAGUCGUAACAAGGUAAC